AGCCCUGUAGCUCAGUGGUUAGAGCACUCGCCUAGCGAGCGAAAGGACCUGGGUUCUAUCCCUAGCAGGGCGA